UACGUAGGUGGCAAGCGUUGUCCGGAUUUAUUGGGCUUAAAGGGUGCGUAGGCGGUCUUUUAAGUCAGUGCUGAAAUACUCCAGCUUAACUGGAGGGGUGGCAUUGAUACUGGGAGACUUGAGUAUAGUUGAGGUAGGCGGAAUUGACGGUGUAGCGGUGAAAUGCUUAGAUAUCGUCAAGAACACCGAUAGUGAAGACAGCUUACUAAACUAUAACUGACGCUGAGGCACGAAAGUGUGGGGAUCAAACAGG
rnacentral:rRNA from 1 species